rnacentral:lncRNA from 1 species
ACAUUUCUUGCAAGGCAGGUCUACUGGUGACAAUUUUCCUCAGUUUUGAUUUGUCUGAGAAAGUAUUUCUUCUUUUUUGAAGGAUAAUUUUACUCGGUAAAUAAUUCUAGGUUGGAAGUUUUUUCCUCCUUUAAUACUAAAUGUUUUACUCCAUUCAAUUGCAUGGUUUGUGAAGAGAAGACCAAUGACAGUCUUUUUCUUCUUCCUCUACAGGUAAGUGUUUUGUAACCAGAAUAGAGGAGGUCUCAUGGAAAUUUGAAUGGAGAAAAAUGGAGAGAGAACUCAAUCACAUGGAGUGCAGUAGGAGCCAUGUACCAAACUGAAAAGGCUGUAGUCACAUCAGACAAUAGCUGAAGAAUGUGAGAAAGAAAAAUCAAAAGCACACAAAUGAGACUGUGCAGUGAAGAGGCCACAGAGACAACCAUACUGUCUUUUUGUAUCACAAUAAGCAAAAAACAGCGUCUCAGUAUGUUGCUCAGGCUGUUCUUGAACUCCUGGGCUCAAAUCAUCUCCCACCUCAGCCUCCCAAACUGCUGGGUUUACAGGCAUGACCAACUGCACCCAGAAUACCAAGGAAAGAGGUUUAUUGAGCACGUGGUUCUCUAGGCUGGGAAGUUCAAGACUGGACAGCUGCAUCUGGAAGCUUCUGGUAAAGGCUUUGUACAGUAUGAAAAUAUAGAGAAACAGAAGGGGAAGCAGGUGUUGUUAAGAGACCAGACAUGAGAGACAGCCUCAUUUUAUAACAGCCAGGGUAACUAAAUCAGUCUGAGGAGAGCAAGAAUUUACUCUUGGAAAAAAGACAUUAACUUCUCUUAACGAUCUAAUCUUAAGGCACAAUGUCUCAACAAUGUCUCACUUGGGAACAAGCAUCAACGUGAGUUUUGAUGGGAACAAACCAUCUUCAAAUUAUAGCAGUUUACUUUUCACUCUAUUAAUUGUGUUCUUUGAUGAAUGAAAGUUUUUGAUUUUGAUCAAGGCCAAUUUAUCUAUUUCUUCUUUUUUGUUAUCUGUACUUUUUAUGUCAUACCUGUAAAAUCAUUGCCAAACUCAAUGCCAUGAAUUCUUUUAUCCAUAUUUUCUCCUAAGAGUUUUAUAUUUUAGCUCUUAUGUUUAAGUCUUUGAUACAUUUUGAGUUAAAUUUUGUACAUGGUGUAAUAUAAAUAUCCAACUUUUGCAUGUAGAUAUAUUUUCCCAAGCAAAAUUGUUGAAAAGACUGUUCUUUUCCCAUCGAAUAAUUUUGGCACACCUGUAAAAAAUAACUGGAUUAUGAAUUCAGGGGUUGAUUUCUGGACUGCCUAUUACUGCCAAUUAGUAUUUAUGCCUGUACCACACUGUUUUGAUUACUGUAGCUUUGUAAUAACUUCUGAAAUUAAGGAGCAUAAGACCUACAAGUGUGUUUUUUCUCAAGAUUGUUUUGGCUAUUCAGGUCCCUUGAGAUUCCAUGUAAACUUUAGGAUGUAUUUUUCUAUUUCUGCAAAAAACAUCAUUGAAAUUUUUAUAGGGAUUUUCACUAAAUCUAUGGAUCAUUUUAUGUAGUAUUGACAUUUUAACAUUAUUCUAAUCAGUGAAAAUGGAUUUCCAUUUAUUUAUGUCUUCUUUAAUUUCUGUCAGCUUCAUUUUAUAGUUUUUAGUGUACAUGUCUUUAGCCUGCUUGGUUACAUUUAUUUCUAAGUAAAUGAAAUUGUUUUUUAUAUUUCCUUUUCAGAUUGUUCAUUAUUAGUGAACAAUGAUAUGCAGCUAAAUUUCAUGUGUUGAUUUUGUAUUCUGCAACAUUGCUGAAUUUAAAUUAGAACUGAGCCCUAUUAGUUUUUUGCCACAUUUUUAGGAUUUUCUGUGUGUAAGAUCAUGUCUUUUAAAAGAAAUAAUUUUAGUUUUAUUUUUCCAAUUUCAAUGUAUUUCAUUUAUUUAUUUGUUGCCUAAUUUCCCUGGUGAGGAGUCUAUUAAAUAGAGGGAUGAAAGUGGGUAUCCUUACAUUGUUUGAUUCUAAGUUUCUUUUUAAAUUAUAAACACAGAAAUAAAAAUGCUGAACAUAUUUGUUUGAUUGAUGCAAUUGAAUUUUAUGUUCUAAAGGUAUGUAUUUUAUGUUUAUGUCAAUUUGCAAAAUAAUUAUAAUUGUCUUUAUUGUGGGAAUUUGGGAUCAGUUACUCAAUCAAAUGAUUGCUCAGUUCUCUAUUUUACUUCUCUCAGUAGCAAAGGUAUAACAGAAGGAGCUUGUGGAAUGCUCAUUAAGUUACAAACAGACUGGUAAUUUAACAAUGGACUGCCAAUAGAACAAUAAAGCCUGUGUAGCUUUAUUGUCUUGAUACAGCGCAUAAUUUUUGACAGAAGCAAUAGAUUUUUUUCAUUUUUCUAAAAAACUUGUUCUCAAGAUAAUAUUUGUGUAGCUCUGCAGGAAUAGACAUCAUCUGCUGAGAGGCAUUCAUAAAAAUAAAUAAUGGGGGAAUUCCCCUCCAGCCCCUAUACACACUUUCUUUGAAAAGCAGUGACCAUCACUGCAUUUGGCUUUUUUAAUUGGCACUGAUUUCCUUUUUUGGCAAAUGAAACUCAAUUUUUCAUACAAGCCAGCCUUCACUGUCUAAUCCUAAAUAUAGGGGCAGCUUUAUCACUUACAUUUGGCAUGGAAGGCUAUACAAAUCUAUUUGGCUUAUUUAAUUCACUGAAAGAGGUAAUUUUCUAAAUAACUUCUAUUGGCCUAAAGGAGGUAAGGUGCUGCCAGGUGGGUAGUUUAUUCUCAUUGGCACAAUCAUAUCAGGACAUGAACGGGAUCCUCACUCUGGGUUUCUAGACACACAAACAAGCAGAACAUGCAACUAAGCAAAGGGAUUUGUACUCUUUCUGUAUUGGUAAGAUUCUCUUAACCUUUGCUGUAUGGAUAUAUAUAUAUAUAUCCCUUGAACAACACAGGUUUGAACUACAAGGGUCCACUUAUACACAGAUUAUUUUUAAUCAAUAUGUUUAUUUAUUAAGGUAGAUAUGUAGCAAAUGCAUAAAAUACACAUAGAUACUAGUCUAUUUACAUGCUAAUCAAUCAUUUAUGUUAUCAGUAAGGCUUCCAGUCAAUAGUAGGCUAUAGUAGUUAAGUUUGAGGAGUCAAAAGUUAUGCAUAAAUUGUCAAUUGCAUGAGAAUUGGCACCCCAACCCCAACAUUGUCCAAUGGUCAAAUGUAUAUAAAUAUAUAUAAAUGUAUACUGUAUAUAAAAUAAUAUUUCUGUUAUAUUAAUGAUUAGGAUUUUUAAAUGUUUGUAUUUUGAAAUAUAACACAUAUAUAUAAUGCAUAAAAUGAAUCUAUAAUGCAACAAAUUAUCACAGAAAUCAAGCAUGUAAUGCUCAUCCAAAAAAAGAAAUAGACCACAAGAAAUAGUUCUUUCUGUGCAAUCUUCACUCCAACCAUCUCCUUCCUCAUGAAAGGUAACCACUACUCUGACAUCUGAUUCUAAAGUUCAAAUUUGCCAUAGAAAUCCUUAAAUAAAUUGAAUAAUAUGUAUUCUU